rnacentral:rRNA from 1 species
CCUACGGGUGGCAGCAGUGGGGAAUAUUGCGCAAUGGGCGAAAGCCUGACGCAGCGACGCCGCGUGAGGGAUGAAGGUCUUCGGAUCGUAAACCUCUGUCAGCAGGGAAGAACGGUCACUGUGCUAAUCAACAGUGCAUUGACGGUACCUGCACAGGAAGCACCGGCUAAAUCCGUGCCAGCAGCGUCGGUAAUACGGAGGGUGCGAGCGUUAAUCGGAAUAACUGGGCGUAAAGCGCUCGUAGGCGGGAUGUCAAGUCAAGGGUGAAAUCCCCGGGCUCAACGUGGGAACUGCCUUUAAAACUGGCAAACUGGAGUGUGUGAGAGGAGAGUGGAAUUCCAGGUGUAGGAGUGAAAUCCGUAGAUAUCUGGAGGAACAUCAGUGGCGAAGGCGACUAUCUGGCACAUAACUGACGCUGAGGAGCGAAAGCGUGGGUAGCAAACAGGAUUAGAUACCCCUGUAGUC